rnacentral:rRNA from 1 species
UACGUAGGGUGCGAGCGUUAAUCGGAAUUACUGGGCGUAAAGCGUGCGCAGGCGGUUCGUUGUGUCUGAUGUGAAAGCCCCGGGCUCAACCUGGGAAUGGCAUUGGAAACUGGCGAACUAGAAUCUGGCAGAGGGGGGUGGAAUUCCACGUGUAGCAGUGAAAUGCGUAGAGAUGUGGAGGAACACCGAUGGCGAAGGCAGCCCCCUGGGCUGAGAUUGACGCUCAGGCACGAAAGCGUGGGGAGCAAACAGG